rnacentral:rRNA from 1 species
CCUUAGAGUUUGAUCCUGGCUCAGGACGACCUCUGGCGGCGUGCUUAACAUAUGCAAGUCGAGCGGGGAUAGUUGAGGCUUCGGCGGAGACUAUUCUAGCGGCCGACGGGUGAGUAACGCGUGAGCAAUCUGUCCCGGACAGGGGGAUAACACUGUGAAAACAGUGCUAAUACCGCAUAAGACCACGGAGGGGCAUCCCUUUGAGGUAAAAGAAUUAUCGGUUCGGGGUGAGUUCGCGUCCCAUUAGAUAGUUGGUGAGGUAACGGCCCACCAAGUCAGCGAUGGGUAGCCGACCUGAGAGGGUGAUCGGCCACAUUGGAACUGAGACACGGUCCAGACUCCUACGGGAGGCAGCAGUGGGGAAUAUUGGGCAAUGGGCGCAAGCCUGACCCAGCAACGCCGCGUGAAGGAAGAAGGUUUUCGGAUUGUAAACUUCUGUCCUAAGUGACGAAGGAAGUGACGGUAGCUUAGGAGGAAGCCCCGGCUAACUACGUGCCAGCAGCCGCGGUAAUACGGAGGAUCCGAGCGUUAUCCGGAUUUAUUGGGUUUAAAGGGUGCGCAGGCGGCGUUUUAAGUCAGUGGUCAAAUCGUGAGGCUCAACCUCAUCCCGCCAUUGAUACUGGAGCGCUUGAUUGCGGUCGAGGCCGGCGGAAUUCGUCGUGUAGCGGUGAAAUGCAUAGAUAUGACGAAGAACACCGAUUGCGUAGGCAGCUGGCCAGGCCGUAAAUGACGCUCAUGCACGAAAGUGCGGGGAUCGAACAGGAUUAGAUACCCUGGUAGUCCGCACAGUAAACGAUGAAUACUUGUUCUUGGCGAUAUACGGUCAGGGGCAAAGCGAAAGCGAUAAGUAUUCCACUUGGGGAGUACGCCGGCAACGGUAAAAUCAAAAGGAAUAGAAGGGGGCCCGCACAAGCGGUGGAGCAUGUGGUUUAAUACGUCACUAACCGUAGAACCUUACCCAGGUUUGACAUCGGUAUGCCCGCUCUGCGAAAUCGGAGCCUUUCAGUUUUCUGAACAUACUAGACAGGUGUUGCAUGGCUGUCGUCAGCUCGUGUCGUGAGAUGUUGGGUUAAGUCCCGCAACGAGCGCAACCCUCACUAAAUGUAGCCAGCGUAAAGUCGGGAACUCAUUUAGAACUGCCUAUGUAAGUAGGAGGAAGGUGGGGAUGACGUCAAGUCAGCAUGGCCCUUACGCCUGGGGCUACACACAUGCUACAAUGGGUGAACAAAGGGAAGCAAUACCGCGAGGUGGAGCGAAUCUCAAAAAUACACUCUCAGUUCAGAUUGCAGUCUGCAACUCGACUGCAUGAAGUUGGAAUCGCUAGUAAACGCAGGUCAGCAAAACUGCGUUGAAUACGUUCCCGGGCCUUGCACUCACCGCCCGUCA